GUGGGUGCAGAGGAAGGCUUACUAGGUGGGAAAGGCAGAAGCUAAGCCUGGGGGCCUCGACCAUCCACACAGUGUAUGCUAGAGUGACAGGCUAUGAGAGAGAUGGUGUGUCAGGUGGAGAGGAGGCUCUUUCCGUAUUAGAAAGGACUGGCAAAGGAACCAGAUGCAGAAAAAGAGAAGAUAGAAAAAGAAUUCAGGCAAACACUAAGUCGCUCAGCCUCCCAAUGACAAAGGUUUUCUGAGUGUUUCCCUGAGUAGCAAUAAGACUUUGAAGCUGUUCAAUUAAUUACUGUUCAAUUAAGACUGCUGCAGCCCUCCCCCCACCUCCCUGCCAUCAUCUCUGCAAGCCUUGGCCGGUGGAG
rnacentral:lncRNA from 1 species